UUCCAUUAACAUCAUUUGAAGCUUUUGAUAGAGAAUAUAAUUAAGGUUUGGAGCAGGUUUUAUUGUUGAUAGAUUUAAUUGAAGAGCAAGAAGCUUAAUAGAGGUGUGUCCAAGGGCAAUGAAGUGGUAAGAAGAGAGGAAUAUGACUACCUUGUUGUCCUAUAAAUUUUUUGGAAAGGAUGACUUUCGGAUUGAUACAUGUGUGAUCAGAAAAGCUGAGCCGGGCGGAUAGCUAUCUGAGUUUGUGAGAUGGUGAGACUGAGCCGGGCGGAUAGUCUCAUCAGAUAUCUACCGGAACGUGA